rnacentral:lncRNA from 1 species
GGCUGGGCUUGGCCUUGACCACAGCUCGCCAACUUCCGCCAUAAGCCUUUGAGAUUUGGGGGCCCUUUGUUUUUCCUAAUCCGCUGGAUCUCAAACUUUCCCACACAGCAGAAUCACCUGGAGGGUUGUUAAGCCAGAUUUCUGUUUAGGUGUUGCCCCUGACACAGGGCAGGGUUGGGUAGUGACACAGACCACAUGGCCGGGAUUUAGGAUUUACCUAAAGAGCACGAUGUUGAGGUGCAUUCGCGAUGGGCUUCAGUGUCCACCUGACUGAACUUGAUUCAUUCAGGCAGGUGUUAAAAUCAAAACAGCUGUUUGAGAUCAGGAUGCUGGAGUGGCUCUGAGAAGGUUGUCACCAGGCCUGUAGGCGCCCCUGGACAGAGGGUGUGGCAGGGGACUGUGGAAGGAGGCCACGCUUGGGAGUUCAGAAAAGAUCCCAAGCCAGCUAGCUGCUUAACAAGCAUGUGCCCUGGGCUGCUCGCUCGGCUCUCUGAGCCUCAGUUUCUCACCUACAAUCGGGACGUCUCUGACGAGGUACAGGCUCCUCUCAUUUGCCAUUCUGCGUCUUCAGGUGGCAGGCAGGCGCGUUGUUUGUGUGUGUGUGAGUGUGCGACACUCACCACAACAGUGCCUGAUGUUGACCGAGAACUUACACAGGGCCGGGACCUGCCCGACACUACCACCACUUCAUCUCAGUUGGGACGGCACCCCUGCGAGCCGGAACUCGCCCCUCGCCCAAGGGAGGCGGCCCCCGCUCCAGGCACCAGGCUGGGAGGCAGGCGGCCUCAGGACGGGCUCUGCGUGCAGCAGCGGCCUCACACUCGCAAGUGGAGCAGACAAGGACGACCGCAGGAAACACUCCCAGCUGGGCUGUGGGCGGGAGCAGUCUCUGCCCACUGGGCGCACAUUGAUGCCACCCCUCGGGAGCGCCCCCAGGACCUCGCUUUCUGCAGCCCUGACAUCCAAGCCCUGGAAUGUCCUUCCUGUUCCACUGUUUCUCUUGGCCACCUCUAAAGAAGGCGUCGGGGAACACACAUCACUUGGGGGAGGGUUCCGUGUUCUCAGUCACGUCCUGACUCGAUGAGGCUUCUGGGUUGCUCAGUGUCUCAGACAGCCUCAGCCCCUGUUGUCCGAGUCUUUCCGCAGCAGAACUCUCUCGAAAGCUGUUUGCUUAUCUGUUUACUUCCAGGCAGAUCCAGGUAGUAUUAGCCACACUGGUGGUCUAUUUCUCCCGACUUAUUUGUGGGUACCCUGAUCCCAUGAGGCUUCUAUGGAAGCACGGUACCCCCACCAUUUGUCACUGAGCCAUAAUGCAGAAACUGAGGCUCGGAGAGGCAAAUAAGUUUUCCUGACUUCACUCUUGGCUUUGAACCCAGCUUUCUAGGUCUCCAUAGCUGUCUAUACCACCUGCACUCUUCAUCCAGAAUCUCCAGGCUUAUUCUUUUGUUCUGUGUGAAAUAAUGCCAAAGCCUGAAUGAGCCGUUUUCAGAGGUUCAAAGGAGCCAAGUUAGAUGCUCCCUUUUAACCCAGACGCGUUUUUUUCACAGCCAUCCUCCUUUGCUUACCUCUAAAACUCAGAUGUCCUUCUCAAACUUCAGUGACGUUAACACCACCUGAGUGUGGGGUUAGGGUGCUUGAUAAAAACGCAGGGUCGCAAGCUGCACCCUCUCAAGAUCUGAUUUGGUAGGAGCAGGGAAGAGCAGGGAACGUACAUUUCAACAAGGAAGCCCCCUCGACCCCCCCAAGGGGACUGUGACUCAGAGUCUGCUUGCCACUCCUUCAGAAGUUAGUUCUCUAACUCCCGCCUGGCAGGGGAUGAGUAACAUUGAGUGAGAAAGUAGCAACUUCUUCUGAAGGUGCUUGAGAGCGUGUGAGAAGCACUUCAUUAGUGGUCACCGCAGUCCUUAGAGGUGGCAGCGCGAUGAUGAUAAUUAUCCCUCGAUUACUUGGAGGGAUUGAAGUGUUUAGAGGAUAAAUUUAGACAUGAAGCCACUGAGUGCCAAGUGCACCCCGCAGGCCGGCGAGGGGUGAGAUCGUAAGGGAGCAGCCCCAGGAGUGCAGGGCUCCCCAGGGCCAGAUGGGAGCCACGAGGAGGAGGAAGGCCCCCACAACCCCGCAGAAGGAGGAAGGGAGCCGGAAGGACAGGACAAGGGAAGCGGAGGGGGGCCACACAGGUGCCGCACUGAGCUUUAUCAAAUACUGAAUUUGUUGCCAAUGUUUUCAAUUCUGGGUAGCUGCGUAUGAAAGUUCAAAUUUGGCAUCUCACGAAGACUCUGGAAACUCAGAGCCAACCAUCACUGAUCACUGUUGGCAGGGAGAGCAGCCUCCCCGCCACAUGCCCGCGUCGCUUGGCCACUUGACCUGUCCAGCCCUGCGGGCGGCUGGGCGGCAGCCCUGCUCGAGCCGGUCGCACAUCUGUCGCAGUAAGCAUUUGGGAAGAGACUGGGUUCCUCCUCUCGCCAAACGGUCAAAGAUCUGACUUGCGGAGUCUGGGUGAAGGGAAUGAGCAUGUGGGAGCAACAGGCCCGAGAGAGAAUCUCAUUCACGUCAUCCUGGGGACAAACAGGCCCACCUGAGAAAACCUCGCUCACGUCGUUCUGGGGACAAAAGCAUUUGAACGACGGAGAACUGAGAGAAAACAAACAGCUUUAGGAUGAAUUUUUCACUCACAAUACUUCCACAGGCUUUUUCACGGUAUUUGAAAAUUAAGUUAACACUAAUUUAAUAUUAUAACAGGGAUUUAAUGGAGUCUGAAAAGUAAAUCAGGCCUUUGAAUGAGAUAUCUAAAACUCUAUUUUAAUAUGCAAAACAACAUAAAAUAAUUGCACUCAAGCAGUAGUUCAAAAACAUUUUAUCAUAAUUGUACUUUCACAAAAAAAUUGUGAAAGAAAGAUCUGGGGGCCGCUGUAGCAUUCCCAAUAUGAGGAAACUAAGGAAGCAAUGGUCUUUAAUUCAAUGCCAGCUGGUAAGACGUGUAGAUAAUUAUCAAAUUACUGUGCAAAGUGAUCUUCAGCAGUUACACCCCAGACAGGCUCUGGGAGGCAGUACAAACCAAAGCCACACCCUGCGAACCAGCCAAACGCACCGCCACCUGCCCCUCUCUGGGUGUCAUGAACCAUCCUUGGACAUUCACAUCUUUGCUUAGGACGCCAACCAGAAUUCCAGAAUCUCUACUGUCCUGUCACAGGCUUCCUACUCAUAACAGAUGUUUAUUGUUGAUACUAAUAGCUCCAAAAGAUAUCCAGAAAUUCAUUUUCAAAAGUGGCUUUUAAAAAUUGCGCUAAAUAAAAUGAGUAUUUUGCUUCA